rnacentral:rRNA from 1 species
UACGAACCGUGCGAACGUUAUUCGGAAUCACUGGGCUUAAAGCGCGUGUAGGCGGGCCGGCACGUCGGUCGCUGAAAUCCCCCGGCUCAACCGGGGAAGGGGCGCCGAUACGACCGGCCUGGAGGGGCGUAGGGGGACCGGGAACUUCCGGUGGAGCGGUGAAAUGCGUUGAGAUCGGAAGGAACGCCCGUGGCGAAAGCGCGGUCCUGGACGCCUGCUGACGCUGAGACGCGAAAGCCAGGGGAGCGAACGGG